rnacentral:tRNA from 1 species
GCCGAGUUAGCUUAGUGGUAAAGUGAUGAGGAGCGCUCAGUAACGCGACUUUUGUUCGCAGGUUCGAUUCCUGCACUCGGCA